rnacentral:snoRNA from 1 species
UCACAAUGAUGAAUGGUCCAAACAUUCGCGGUUUCCACCAGAAUUCCAGUUGUGUUGGCAACUUCCUUCCUUGGAUGUCUGAGUGG